GAUUGAUGAAGUUUGAAAUGUCUCCAAGACAGCGGGGAAGGAAGUCAGACACUCGGCAAGCGAUGGCUGGCUGUUUAUAAACCCAAUCUCCCUCUCAAAUUCAAAAUUCAUGGCUUUCAAUGGUGGGGGAGGGGGCCUGCUGGGGGGGCGUCAGGAGGGAGGAUCGGAAGGGACCCCCCCUCCUGCCCCCCCCAGGUCUGUGUGAUGGAGCGAUUUUGGGAGGGGAAGAUUUUGCUUUUUUUUUUUUUUAAUUUUGGGCCUUUAUAAUUGUAUAUUGCUGAUAAAUACAAGCGUAUGGGGACUCUCUCUAUUAAACCCAGGACUCCGGCGAAAUUGCAGGGAAUUCAUGGUCACGGGACCGGCCUUGGCCAAUCGCUUGUCUGGGCCUGGUGGAAAACAGAGAGCGUUAUUUGCUUUAAUUGAUUCAAAAACUGUAGAGGACCAUGACCUGGACACCAUGAGCCCCCCAGUCCUACACUCCCUCUCCGCAUGACUCACUUUCUCCAGAAAAGCUAAAGGAACCUUUUCCUCAUCCCCUUCAGAGGAUGGGAGGUUCUGGAAUCCCAGGAAACAAGAGAACCUAAGGGAGAAAUCGUCCUCUUCUGAAAAUAUUUUUAAUAGAGUAAAUUAAAGCUUUCUUUACAAGGCCAGCAGCAUUCUCUUCCCCUCCCCCCCCCCCAAAGAAGCUGAGUGAGGAUCUCAAUGUGAGAGGAAGAGGUAGUAAAAAGAGGCUUUCGCCUUUGGGAAAGGUCGGUGUUACCGUGCAGCAAGGAAGAGAUUUGCAAGCAUCAGCAGCGCUAUCCCCAACCCACCCCCCAAAACAACAGAUAAAUCUUGGGAAAUCGACAAGCACUCCUAGGCUGACACAGAGGGGUGAGAGAGAUAGUGAGGGGCCCUUUUGCACCUCUGGCCUACAUAGCUGUGUGGUCUCAGUUGCCUUCUCUGCCCAGCGUUUGCAGCACUACCCCUGCCCCUAUGUCUACCUGCCUCCUCACCUGGAGGCAUCUGCACUCCUAUAUGACACCCCCAACAGACAGGGUCUAAGAUGCAUAUGCACCCACCCACUCAAGCCUCAAGCCUGUAUCUGCAUCUAUAUCCAGCAACAGGAACAAGAACCAAGGUAGCCACCGAUUCAACUUAGAGAACUCUCAAACCUCAGGUCAAUGUAUGGGGUGGAGGUGGGGCUUUUCCCUCAAGGAAUCCCCCUGCCAUUUUUGCCAUUGUAUUAAUUAAUAUCCCUGACAAGGUAGAAUUCCCUAAACAUGGAGGGGGUGAAAAAAUAAUGACUACUGAGACGAUAUUCCAUUUCUGGCCCCUGGGGGGAAUUGUUGUUGUUUAUUUCUUUUCAGAGGAUCAAGAUAGUGUGAACUUUAGGGAGUGCUGUAAUUUACGGGAGGGAAGGGAUACAAGACUCAGGGCCCCAAGCAAUCGGUGGGAAACUAGAUCUCAAAACAGAAAAUGAAAAGUCGAUCUGGGGUAAGAUUUUUAAAUAAGUGGGUCAGAGGGACCGAGAGGAGAUGAGGUGAUCAAUCUUAGCCCCCUGACAGCUCCCUCGGAUGGCAUCAAAGAAUUUGGCUCUUUGGGAAAGCAGAGGGAACAGCCGAAAUUCCACAUCCCUUUAAAAGGCCUGGGGAUGGGGGGUGCUAGCAAAAGAGAAGGGUGAUUCUGGGAGAGCAGGGAAACAGAUGGGAAAUGGGGACAGAGGAAGGGCACUGGGUUGGGUGGAAAGUUUGUCUGGAGAACUCCCACGGCUCUGGCCUCCCCUCCCCCUCCUUGCUCGCUGCCUCCUAGCAAGAAGGAGAAGGCUGGUUAGCAGAGAAAUGGCAUCUCGGCCGGGAGCUGGAACUAGAAACUUUCUGUCAAUGUAACAGACGCGUGGGUGGUGGUGAGUAUUCAUCCGCGUGGGUGGUGGGUGAGUAAAAAAAGACAGAGAAAUCUGAGGAAAAGGAUGGGGUGGAGGAGAGCCAGGAGGAAAAAAGGGGAGCUGGAGGCAAGGGCUGCAGGGCAGGGGGCGGCAAGCUCUGGAGGGUUCAGAUCCAAGAGAGCUGCUCUGAAAAACUGGGCAAACUCGCCAGAGACGGUUAGUUGUGUCCAGCUCAGCUCCAAAUAAAGUAAUUUUUGCUACUUGGAGGAGGGGAUGGGGGUGGGAGUGGGGAGUAGGCAGAGAAGAAUCUGAAGAGUAGUUGUCUGGAAGUUGUGCAGUGAGGCCUGGGAGGGUUCUUCCUCCGGCCACCCCCUUGAAAAGCCCUGCAAGUUUUUCACAGCCUCUCCGGCUGGCUGCAGGGUUGAGCGCUUCUCUCCGCAACAACUCCGGCUGCCCCUGCAGGAAAUACGGCUCUCUCUAACCCUGCUGACAGAUUUUAUGGCCAGAUUAGAGAACAGCAGAACACUUGGGUGUUAAAAGGGACCAAGAGAACCUUCCUUCCCCGAGACACCGCUUCCCUGCCCCCUUGCUGUGCUGUGAAUCUUACAGCGCAGAUAUUUCCCCCUUCCCCAGAUAUUUCCCCCUUCCCACUGCUUAGCUAGGGCCUGAAAUCCCUCAGAAGGAAGGGUAGGGGACACCAAGCCAAGGCAGCCCUUAUUUUUCUUGUUUGCAAUGACAAUUUCAAGCCAAGGCUCAGUUUUUCAAACUUGAGCUAAACUCUCUGACUUGCCUGCCUUUCUCCUGCUAGAUAAUCUAUCCACUCAACCCCCAGAGCCAAACGCGGCGCUUCACCUAGUUACAUCAUUCAGAAGAUGUUACUCAGGGAAGAGGAAGAGAGAGAGAAAGACAGAAAGAAAGAAAAACCCUUGAGCGUUAUUUGAUCCCAAUCAAACUUUGCACGCUCUUAUGCCUUUAAAUUAUAGCCUGACCCAAUGCUAAAUUGCUUGCUGGUUAGGUGAGCCUAGUCCAGUUAAAAUCCUACUUGGUGGUGGGGGGGGGGAGUGUAGAAUUCAGGUUGCUUUUUUAUUGUUAUUUAUUGUUGCAUAAAGACUGUAAUUACUAACCUUGGACUGCCAGGAUGCAACAUAAAAAUGAAAAUCAGCUCUCGCUUUAAGGCUGAGGGCCUGGAACGAUUCUCACCGACACGCCCCCCCCCCAUCACUAUCAACAAAUAUAUGCUCCUAAUUAAGCAAUGCGGGCGCAUCGCUUACAAUCAGAAUUAUGCAACUCUUCAGCAAGCAGCCAUCGCCUCUCUUUCAACGAAUUAGCUCCAUAUUUCAGCCGCCCUGUCUCCUCGCUCUUAUCGGCUCCAGCGACGCGGCAGUGACAUUUCAUCUUUGACAGACUCUCUCUAUCCUCGCUCCAAUGUGAUAAAAGUUUUAUGGAACCACGACUAAGAAAUGAAGUUUUCCCAAGGAUCGUGGAAACAGAGCAGCACAUUAGCCUGGGGACCAUUUUAUUUACGCUUGGAUCCAACAGCUUCUCCUACCCUCCUCCUCUCCCCUUUCCCUGGCAGUGGAAAUCAAACACGCCUCCUCUCCCUCCGCCCUGAGUUUUAUUUAGUGAUUUAAUUUCACUUUAGUUUUAAGGUUUGACCUGAGAAGUCUAGGCCUCAGAUUUUUUUUUUAGAUUAAUCAUUUUCCUUUGUUUUCAUUUUAGACCCAAUGGUGGUUGGGCUUCGGGUCACGUGACGACUUCUUUGUCGCUCCGGAAGAGAACUGUGAAGUUUAGGUUGCGUGAGAAUUGCCAGGAAAAAAAAAAAUCAAGAUUUGGGGGAAUUACCCACAUAGAUGUAAGGUGUGUUAACUUGGGCGCUUCUUGGAUUCUACCCUGAGGAGGAGGCGCAUGAUCUUGAUUUGCCGCUCGCUGAGGUUCAGCAGGUUGGCCAUCUCCACGCGGCGUGGCCGGCACAGGUAGCGGUUGAAGUGGAACUCCUUCUCCAGCUCCACCAGCUGCG